rnacentral:misc_RNA from 1 species
GAUGAAGAACGCAGCGAAAUGCGAUAAGUAAUGCGAAUUGCAGAAUUCCAGUGAGUCAUCGAAUCUUUGAACGCACAUUGCGCCCCCCGGCACUCUGGGGGGCACGCCUGUUCGAGCGUCGUUUCAGCACUCGGGCGCCCGUCCGCCCGGCGUUGGGGCUCCGCGGCGCCGCCCGCGGGCCCCCAAAUCCAGCGGCGGACCCGCCGCGGCCCUGAGCGCAGUAAGACAAGCCUCGCUCCGGCGGCCGCGGCGCGGUCUCGCCAGACCACGCAACGCACUCCUAAGAGGUCGACCUCGGAUCAGGCGGGACUACCCGCUGAACUUAAGCAUAUCAAUAAGCGGAGGA